GCCUGGGUGGCUCGGUGGAUUAAGCACCCGACUUCGGCUCGGGUCAUGAUCUCACGGUCUGUGGGUUCGAGCCCCGCGUCAGGCU
rnacentral:tRNA from 1 species